rnacentral:tRNA from 1 species
GGGGCCGUCGAUUAGCCUGGAUUAAGUCCCCUGACUGUCGAUCAGGUGAGCGUGGGUUCAAAUCCCAUCGGCCCCGCCA